GACGAACGCUGGCGGCGUGCUUAACACAUGCAAGUCGAACGGAAAGGCCCCCAUCUCGGGGGGGGUGCUCGAGUGGCGAACGGGUGAGUAACACGUGGGUGAUCUGCCCUGUACUUCGGGAUAAGCUUGGGAAACUGGGUCUAAUACCGGAUAGGACCAUGGUUUAGUGUCUCAUGGUGGAAAGAUUAUUGUUUUGGUGCAGGAUGAGCUCGCGGCCUUUCAGCUUGUUGGUGGGGUAAUGACCUACCAAGGCGUCGACGGGUAGCCGGCCUGAGAGGGUGGACAGCCACAUUGGGACUGAGAUACGGGCCAGACUCCGACGGGAGGCAGCAGUAGGGAAUAUCGCACAAUGGGCGCAAGCCUGAUGCAGCGACGCCGCGUGAGGGAUGACGGCCUUCGGGUUGUAAACUCCUUUCGUUAGGGACGAAGCCGCACUUUUUUUGGGUGUGGUGACGGUACCUUUGUUAAGAAGCACCGGCUAACUACGUG
rnacentral:rRNA from 1 species